rnacentral:rRNA from 1 species
AGGGUUUGAUCAUGGCUCAGAUUGAACGCUGGCGGCAGGCUUAACACAUGCAAGCCGAGCGGUAUUGUUUCUUCGGAAAUGAGAGAGCGGCGUACGGGUGCGGAACACGUGUGCAACCUGCCUUUAUCUGGGGGAUAGCCUUUCGAAAGGAAGAUUAAUACUCCAUAAUAUAUUGAACGGCAUCGUUUAAUAUUGAAAGCUCCGGCGGAUAGAGAUGGGCACGCGCAAGAUUAGCUAGUUGGUGAGGUAACGGCUCACCAAGGCGAUGAUCUUUAGGGGGCCUGAGAGGGUGAUCCCCCACACUGGUACUGAGACACGGACCAGACUCCUACGGGAGGCAGCAGUGAGGAAUAUUGGUCAAUGGGUGCAAGCCUGAACCAGCCAUCCCGCGUGAAGGACGACUGCCCUAUGGGUUGUAAACUUCUUUUGUAUAGGGAUAAACCUACCCUCGUGAGGGUAGCUGAAGGUACUAUACGAAUAAGCACCGGCUAACUCCGUGCCAGCCGCCGCGGUAAUAC